rnacentral:tRNA from 1 species
GGCUUGGCUCAGAGGUAGAGCUUCUGCUUGGCAGCCAGAAGUUCCCAGGUUCAAUUCCUGGCAUAUCCA